rnacentral:rRNA from 1 species
AUGUUCUUGCCUUCGCGGCAACAUGCCGCUCUUGGCGCCCGGCUCUCUCCUCAUACCCAAACAAAUCUGCCUUCUGCACCAGAUUCCCACCUCUCCUCGUCCAAUUCAAUGUCUGUGUUCAAGCUCCUGAUCUCCCGUCUAACAAUGGUCAUUACGAGCUACGCACAUGUAAGGUCAUUGAUCCAAUCAACAGGAACAUUGCCCUUCGCUGCCAGAUUCCUCAAGAAAUUUAUCAGGAGAUGCAUUUUGCUGGCACUUCCUAUGGUCAACUAA